rnacentral:lncRNA from 14 species
UGCUGAACCGCAGAAGCGCUUUGGGGACGAGGUUUGCAUUCCAAAGAUGGAUUUAGAGCUUUGGGAAGAUGGAUUUGGGGCUGUGGGGACAAAGUCUGGAUUCCAAAAUAGGAUUUAGGGCUUUGGGGACAAAGUUUGGAAGAUGGGUUUGGGGCUCUGGGGUGCAAGGUUUGGGUUCCAAAGCAGGAUUUGGGGUUUGGGGUGCAAGGUUUGGGUUCUAAAGCAGGAUUUGGGGGGGUUCCAAAGCAGGAUUUGGGCUUUGGGUGCAAGGUUUGGGUUCCAAAGCAGGAUUUGGGGUUCGGGUUCCAAAUCAGGAUUUGGGGGUUUGGGUUCCAAAUCAGGAUUUGGGGCUUUGGGUACAAGAUUUGGGUUCCAAAGCAGGAUUUGGGGUUUGGGGUGCAAGUUUCGGGUUCCAAAUCAGGAUUUGGGGCUUUGGGGACAAAGUUUGGGUUCCAAAUCAGGAUUUGGGGCUUUGGGUGCAAGGUUCGUGUUCCAAAUCAGGAUUUGGGGGUUUGGGGACAAAGUUUGGGUUCCAAAUCAGGAUUUGGGGUUUGGGUGCAAGGUUCAGGUUCCAAAUCAAGAUUUGGGGUUUUGGGUGCAAGGUUCGGGUUCCAAAGCAGGAUUUGGGGUUUGGGGUGCAAGGUUUGGGUUCCAAAGCAGGAUUUGGGGUUUUGGGGUGCAAGGUUCGGGUUCCAAAGCAGGAUUUGGGGUUUGGGUUCCAAAGCAGGAUUUGGGGUUUGGGUUCCAAAGCAGGAUUUGGGCUUUGGGUGCAAGGUUCGGGUUCCAAAUCAGGAUUUUUCCCCCCCCAGGAGGGUUCCCAGGCUGUGACCUUGGGGAGGAGCAGCUCCAGGAACAGGAUCCGGCUCUCCCCCAUUCCCAGGAGAUCCCCGGGGCAGCUGCUCCCGAUCAGGGACAGCCCCAGCAAGGUCACACACACACACAGGAGCCUUAAAACCCCCCAAAAAUGGAUUUUUCUGGAAUUUCAGAGCCUCCGGGUGUCCCAUUC